CUGGGUUUUGCUCUUAUUUGACAUUUUCAAACUUCUCUAUUUUGUUAUUGUUUUUUCAACCAGGUGGUUUCAUAUUCUCUUGCCGUUUAUUGUGGUAAUUGGUUCCUUAGAAUGUGAUUCUCAGUUUUUGCCUUCCUUUUGCUGCUUAUUUUUUCCCCAUUUGUGCUUCUGUUUAUUUGACAAUAUGUUUAUCCUUAGCUCUUUGUGUUUGUGCUUACGAGUUUUGGUUCUCUCAGGACUCUGUAUUUUUGUAUUUGGAGAGGGAGCUUCGUUAUAUUGGUUACCUAUUUCUUGGCUGGAUUGUUAGAUCUGAUGGUUUUGGUCUUGGAAUUGGAUGCUACAUUUUGGCAUCUCUACUACUUUCAGGAUUAGGAGUGGUUAUGCACCAGCUACAUUGAACAAGGAUUGUCAUUUACAUCUGCACUAUGAUUCCAUUGUGGUUUCAUUCAGCUCGUGUAUUUAUCUCGACGUUGAGUAUUUAUUAAGGUCAUUUUAUGCACCUUGGUUUUCCUGUUGAUGGUGUUUACCUUGCUCGGUAUUUUGUUUCCUUUUGGAAGGGGCCAUGUAAGCUUCAGUUUUAAAAAUGUUACUUUAUUGGAUGAUGGUUUUCGAGUAAACUAAAUUAUCUUUA